rnacentral:piRNA from 1 species
UCCACAUCACUUCUUGCUAUGAACUACAGAG